CAGUCGCCGCGGGAAUACGUAGGUCCCGAGCGUUGUCCGGAUUUAUUGGGCGUAAAGGGAGCGCAGGCGGUUUGGUAAGUCUGAAGUUAAAGGCAUUGGCUCAACCAAUGUAUGCUUUGGAAACUGUUAGACUUGAGUGCAGAAGGGGAGAGUGGAAUUCCAUGUGUAGCGGUGAAAUGCGUAGAUAUAUGGAGGAACACCGGUGGCGAAAGCGGCUCUCUGGUCUGUCACUGACGCUGAGGCUCGAAAGCGUGGGUAGCGAACAGGAUUAGAUACCCGGGUAGUCCCUGUCUCUUAUACA
rnacentral:rRNA from 1 species